rnacentral:rRNA from 1 species
GACGAACGCUGGCGGCGUGCUUAACACAUGCAAGUCGAACGGAAAGGCCCUGCUUUUGUGGGGUGCUCGAGUGGCGAACGGGUGAGUAACACGUGAGUAACCUGCCCUUGACUUUGGGAUAACUUCAGGAAACUGGGGCUAAUACCGGAUAGGAGCUCCUGCUGCAUGGUGGGGGUUGGAAAGUUUCGGCGGUUGGGGAUGGACUCGCGGCUUAUCAGCUUGUUGGUGGGGUAGUGGCUUACCAAGGCUUUGAAGGGUAGCCGGCCUGAGAGGGUGACCGGCCACAUUGGUACUGAGAUACGGCCCAGACUCCUACGGGAGGCAGCAGUGGGGAAUAUUGCACAAUGGGCGGAAGCCUGAUGCAGCAACGCCGCGUGCGGGAUGACGGCCUUCUGGUUGUAAACCGCUUUCGCCUGUGACGAAGCGUGAGUGACGGUAAUGGGUAAAGAAGCACCGGCUAACUACGUG